UACACAUGCAAGUCGAGCGGAUGACGGGAGCUUGCUCCUUGAUUCAGCGGCGGACGGGUGAGUAAUGCCUAGGAAUCUGCCUGGUAGUGGGGGACAACGUUUCGAAAGGAACGCUAAUACCGCAUACGUCCUACGGGAGAAAGCAGGGGACCUUCGGGCCUUGCGCUAUCAGAUGAGCCUAGGUCGGAUUAGCUAGUUGGUGGGGUAAUGGCUCACCAAGGCGACGAUCCGUAACUGGUCUGAGAGGAUGAUCAGUCACACUGGAACUGAGACACGGUCCAGACUCCUACGGGAGGCAGCAGUGGGGAAUAUUGGACAAUGGGCGAAAGCCUGAUCCAGCCAUGCCGCGUGUGUGAAGAAGGUCUUCGGAUUGUAAAGCACUUUAAGUUGGGAGGAAGGGCAGUAAGUUAAUACCUUGCUGUUUUGACGUUACCGACAGAAUAAGCACCGGCUAACUCUGUGCCAGCAGCCGCGGUAAUACAGAGGGUGC
rnacentral:rRNA from 1 species